AGCCUGAACGCUGGCGGCGUGGUUAAGACAUGCAAGUCGAACGGAUGCAGCAAUGCAUCAGUGGCGGACGGGUGAGUAAUGUAUCGCUAAUGUACCCCGGAGACAGGGAUAGCUGCCCGAAAGGGCAGGUAAUACCAGAUGAUAUAACCUUAUCGCAUGAUGAGGUUCUCAAAUGUAGCAAUAUGCUCUGGGCGCAGGCGAUAUCGUAUCAGCUUGUUGGUGAGGUAACGGCUCACCAAGGCGACGACGCGUAGCUGGUCUGAGAGGACGACCAGCCACAUUGGGACUGAGACACUGCCCAGACUCCUACGGGGGGCUGCAGUAACGAAUCUUCCGCAAUGCACGAAAGUGUGACGGAGCGACGCCGCGUGUAGGACGAAGCCCGUUCGGGUGUAAACUACUGUCAGGGUUACCAAGUUCUGAGGAGCCCAGAGGAAGGCACGGCUAACUCUGUGCCAGCAGCCCG
rnacentral:rRNA from 1 species